GGAGGGGGCUUACUGCUCCCUCGACCAGGUCCUCACCCCUGCGCUCUUGGGAACUUCCCUCGUGCCAAGAGGCCAGCUGAUUCUGUCUUCUGUGAAAGCAGGUGGAAAAGACGUUCUGCUGCAUUCCACAGAAGGGAAAACAGGCAUAUGGAGGGAAGUGACUCAGCCAGGUUCAUGGAUGGAGUCAGCCACCAAGCCAGGAAUGGAGCUCUAUCCUCUGACUCUGAAACCACAGCCUUCACCACGGCAGUCACUCCUUUCCUCAAGAGGAAGCUUCAGCUCAUGCUCGCAGAUAUGGCCUUUGGACUCAACAGGUGCUACUGGCAUUGGGCAGUGGGGCUUUCUACCCCCGGUUCUUCCCACUCCAAUCCAGGAGACUACUGGCCUUCAAAUAUGGAUUUCAUGGUAC
rnacentral:lncRNA from 10 species